rnacentral:rRNA from 1 species
GACAGAGGGUGCAAACGUUGUUCGGAAUUACUGGGCGUAAAGCGAGUGUAGGCGGUUUGGUAAGUCGGAUGUGAAAGCCCCGGGCUCAACCCGGGAAGUGCACUCGAUACUGCCAAGCUAGAGUAUCGGAGAGGUUGGUGGAAUUCUCGGUGUAGAGGUGAAAUUCGUAGAUAUCGAGAGGAACACCGGUGGCGAAGGCGGCCAACUGGACGAAUACUGACGCUGAGACUCGAAAGCGUGGGGGAGCAAACAGG